rnacentral:rRNA from 1 species
UGCAUAUCAAUAAGCGGAGGAAAAGAAGCCAACAGGGAUUGCCCUAGUAACGGCGAGUGAAGCGGCAACAGCUCAAAUUUGAAAUCUGAUCUCUUCGAGGUCCGAGUUGUAAUUUGUAGAGGGCGCUUUGGUGUUGGCUGCGGUCUAAGUUCCUUGGAACAGGACGUCAUAGAGGGUGAGAAUCCCGUCUGUGGUCGCAUGUCUUCACCGUGUAAAGCCCCUUCGACGAGUCGAGUUGUUUGGGAUUGCAGCUCCAAACGGGUGGUAAACAUCACCUAAGGCUAAAUAUUGGCGAGAGACCGAUAGCGAACAAGUACCGUGAGGGAAAGAUGAAAAGAACUUUGAAAAGAGAGUUAAACAGUACGUGAAAUUGUUGAAAGGGAAACGAUUGAAGUCAGUCGUGCUGGCGCGAAAUCAGCUUGACCGGUAGGGCAUCACCUAUCGUGGCGAGCCUCAAAACCGCCACAGCUUGUGAUAACUUAACGGCCUCGUGCACUUUCGUGUCGGCUGGUUAACAUCAAUUUCGAUCGUCAUAAAAAGGCUGGAGGGAUGUGGCUCCUUCGGGAGUGUUAUAACCUUUGGCGGAAUGUGGUGGUCGGGAUUGAGGUUUGCAACGAAUACCUUCAGGGCUGCUCCACCUGGCCUCUCAUCGGCAUCCUGGCGGCGACAGCUUGCUGACGUUGUUAGGAUCAGCCUUCGAACAGGCUAGAGUGUGAGCAAAUUCGUUAAGGAUGUUGACGUA